UUCCUGAUCAUCUAUCUCUAGUUCCACCGAAACCCUAAAUUCUAGAGAGAAGGUCGACUUCUCCAUCUCUAAGUGGGCCGACGGAAAGCCCAAAAAACCCAGUGAUUCAAGAACUCACAAAGCAAGACUUUCUGAACCGAGGGAAUAAAACGACAAAAGAAAUACAAAGUGAAAGUGUAUAAGCAUUAGAAAGAAACUCUUUUUUGAAUCAGAUGUAAUAAGUCUUAAAGAAACUAGUGCGAGAGCAACUUAAGCAUGACAUUGUAAUGGCGAAGUAUUAACUUUUGUUGGUUUGUAUUUGUUGGAUAUUUUGGAUCUCUAGUUUGUUGAAUUGUUAUAUGCAAUAUUUAAAGUUUCUACUUUAUUUAUUA